rnacentral:rRNA from 1 species
GACAGCAGCCGCCACGGUAAUACGUAGGGUGCAAGCGUUAAUCGGAAUUACUGGGCGUAAAGCGUGCGCAGGCGGUUUGUUAAGACAGAUGUGAAAUCCCCGGGCUCAACCUGGGAACUGCAUUUGUGACUGGCAAGCUAGAGUGUGGCAGAGGGGGGUGGAAUUCCGCGUGUAGCAGUGAAAUGCGUAGAUAUGCGGAGGAACACCGAUGGCGAAGGCAGCCCCCUGGGCCAACACUGACGCUCAUGCACGAAAGCGUGGGGAGCAAACAGGAUUAGAUACCCCCGUAGUCCCUGUCUCUUAUAA